AAAAUACAAUGUAAAAAUAGAUAAGAGAAAUAUUAUAUCGAAACAGGACAUAAAAUCACAAAACAUAGGAAAUGGAAGAAUUAUGUGUUGUAGGCAGUCCUGAACAGGUGUGUAUUUAAACUGGAUGA